CAUAUUUUAAGAAACAUCAUCCAUUGAAGGCUAUUCGGAGUACUAUUAACAGGACAGUUUCCAGUCUGAAGAAAACAGUAGGAAGGAAGAAUGUGAAAACAUCCAGAUCAGCAAAACAAGACUUCAUGGUACCAUCAGAGGAAAGGCAAGAGAAGCACGAAGGAAGCAA